UUUCAUUCUCAAAACCAAUUUUGAAUACGAAAAUUAAUUUUCUCAAUUGCUAGAAACAUGAAAAACAAUAACAAUCAAAGAUCAAUUCCUAACAAACACAAAGUAGGCUCUGAUACCACUGUUGGGAAUCUACUUAUACAUGCACAGCGGAAUUUAAAAUAUAUUUCGAUUCCCAUCCAAUAGAUCUCAUUGUGUUUGGUUAGGAAUUGUGAUAGGAUUGUACCUUUUCCAGAUCUGCAAUGCUUUUGCUUUUCUUUUCGUUCCACAACUUUGAUUCGCCACCACAGCUGUCCAAUUGUCCAGCCUCCAACGGUGAUCCACAAAGAGAAUUUGAUUGCAGCCUCUAGGGUUUUCUCUUGUGCUAGCAAGAAUAAUGAAAAUCUUAAUG
rnacentral:lncRNA from 1 species